ensembl:lncRNA
AACACUGAAGCAGAAACACAUAGAAAGGACAGGAAAAUAACACGCUGGAGACUAUUUAUGAAUACAAAAUAAUGCUUCAGUGUGGAGGCUUUCAGGCAUAAAACACCAGAGGGAAAACACUUGUGUAUCCUCACUCUGCUCUGACCUCCAGAUGUCUUUUAGAAACUGGGACAUCCUUCAAGAUGAUUCUGUUAGACUGAUUUCCAGGUCAGGGCAGGAGGAGAAUGCACAAAAAAGAGCAAUGAAAAACUCUGUAGACUAUGUGUACUCAGGUCCGCCCGUGUGAGAACACCAUCCAUGGUAUAGUUACUAGUGGACAAUCUCCUUGCUUUUCUAUUCUGAUUUCAUCCAGCUGCUUCUCUGUAAAGGGUGUUAUCCUUUGUUUAGAUGGACUUAAACUCCACCACCUGCAGUUGUUGUACAAGUUGUACAAUGGGGUCAGCCAAUCAGAAGUAAGAGCUAAAUCCGCUUGUUACAGGCAGACUUGCCCCAGUAUAAGAUAAAUAAAGAUUAUUUUGAACUGUGAAUUAUACAAAGCUACUCUAGUAGAGCCCAAGAAUAAAUUAUAUGGAGGUGAAUUUAAUAUUACUACACUGGAAUUGUCCUUUAACUGACUGGUGAUGCUUUCAGGAGCCUCAAACAUUCAGACCACGAGGUCUUUCUAUCUGAUAGCUGGUGCACAUAAGCAGUUAUCUCCCAAAGAGAAAGCACCACCAUCUUUAAAAGAUCAUCAUCUUUCUACAGAGCCUGCCUCACUCUCACGUCACCUUAACCUUACUGAACACCAAAAUCAGAGGGACUACGAUCUUGUUUCACUGUUUCACUGGACAGAAAGCAAAAAAAAUCCUGAAGAUGAGCUGUAAUCGUCACUGUCAUGUUAAACUGUAACACAACUACUGCCACUGCUGUCUGCACAUCUGCAGCUUGUAGCACUUUGUAGCAGUCCCACUGCUGUUUGCAGCAGAAAUCACACUGAUCCAUAAACACUGUCGUAUGCCUCUCAUCAAGUCUGACGCUUCACGAGGAAAAGUUCCGAUUCCAAAGACUUUCCCAGGCUGAGAUUUCUUCCAGAUUUCAUCUUGGUUCAAUUUUGGACUUCGGAGGGGUUUUUUAUGUCAGAAAUGUUGACAGCUACAGUAGUCACCUUAAAAUCCACUGAUUUCCAACAGAUAUCAACUUAAAAAAGAAUAAUCGGAAAAAUAACCCAAAGAUAUUUAACUUUGUGAUGACGAGAAGAAGCAAACCUUUACAAUUGAGAGGUUGUAAUGUUCUAACUUUCGGAUCAUUUAUAGAAACAUUUUCAGUUCCAGGAAACCUUUAAAUUAAUAAUGUUUCCCACUGUGUAACAUGACAUUUUAUUUUAAUUAUCCUUCUUUCAGAAACUUCUCCAAAUGACUUUCAGUUUCAUAGAAAACUGAGAAACAUAUUUUUAAACUCCUUUCAGUCCAGCUCUCCCAGAGAAAAGAAAGACCCACACUGUAAACCCUUUAGACGCCAGUUUUAUCGCUUUAUUUUUAAGCCGUGCAUCAGUUUCUUCUCUUAUCCAUCCAUUCAUUCGUUUUCUGCCACUUAUCUGAGUGCAGGCUGUGGGAGUAGCAGUCUGAGCUCUCCUCUCCCUGGCCCCCUCCUCCAGCUCUUCUAAUAGCCAAGAGAUCUAAUCUCUCCAAUGCAUCCCGGGUCUGAACCAGGCCUCCUCCCAGUUGGACAUAACAUAAAACACCUCAUUUAGGCGGAGGAGGCAUUGUAGUAUGUCAUUUAACCUCAGCUCUUUCUCCCUCUCUGCCUGACACCAUUUAAGUCCUAGCAGAGGAUGAAGAAAGAAACACCAUGAAAAUACCCGUAGCCUUACUCUAUGUGUCGGAUCCAACAUCACUGCGCUGACAUUUUAACACAAAUUCAACUGGUGGCUGUUUUUUUUUUUUUUUUUUUAAAUUGUUAAUCUAAAAAUUUCAGGAUGUAGGACCUGAACUUUUUUGGCCUUUGAAGCCAGGCGUCCCAGGAAAAAAUUAAAAUAUGAGUUCUGUUACUCAAUGAGAUUAUUUCUCAAGCUGUGUUUACACACGUACCUGAACAGAGAUGUUCAGAUUUAAAACAUUAUGGUGAUAAAACUGACUUAAAAUUGGUGGUGUGUCCCUUUAAUUCUGUUUCGGUUGACCCCACUGAUUUCUUACCUAAUUAAAUUUAGGUAAUAUUUUUUUUUUAAACACACAAAGUACAAAAGGAAACAAGUGCAAAAUGGUGACCUUUUUAUUUUUAAUCUUAACAUUUUUUCUUUGUUUGAUACAUUUUUGUCAUAUCUGGGCUUCCAUAGAUCCUCCGUGACUCAUUACAGGAUUAGGUUUAUAAACUUUUCUCACCUUGCUGUAUAACAGGCACCAUUUGGCUUCCCUUCCCUUCAUACAAACUCCGAAUGGUUUCAUUUCUGCAGUAUAUGAUAUUUAUUUGCUUCUGAUCAGUGGAGGGUUUUUAUCUUUUAUUCCACGCCUACGUGUUUAGUUUUGAGAGCACCUUUUAAAUAUUCUCCAAGCAGUACAACACACACACACACUGCCGUAUGCCCUCGUCUAUAACCCCAGUUGUACUGUUGAUUACUGUUUAUUUUCAGAGGCACUAAAGAAUAUCUCGAAAAGAUUCUGUUUUAUUGUUGAAUGAAAUUCAAUGUUUGUUUUCUGAAAGACUUAAGAACAAUAAAUAAAAAGUAACAGCUUUUUUUUUUUUUGCUAAAUAAAUGUUUUUUG